rnacentral:rRNA from 1 species
UACGUAGGGCGCAAGCGUUGUCCGGAAUUAUUGGGCGUAAAGAGCUCGUAGGCGGUCUGUCGCGUCCGUUGUGAAAACUCGAGGCUCAACCUCGGGCUUGCAGUGGAUACGGGCAGACUAGAGUGCGGUAGGGGAGACUGGAAUUCCUGGUGUAGCGGUGAAAUGCGCAGAUAUCAGGAGGAACACCGGUGGCGAAGGCGGUUCUCUGGGCAUUACCUGACGCUGAGGAGCGAAAGCGUGGGGAGCGAACCGG